CCUCGGCCCCCCCACCACGAGGGCCGCAGGCAACAGUGCUCCUCGCCGCACCGUGCCAGACUCUCGAAAGCAAGCUGUCCAGGCCCUGAGAGGGCAAAGCACGCCCAUAUCCAUCCUGAUGCUCUCUCCACCAUGCUUCACAGUCGGGAACAUUUUGUCAGCAGUGCUGUGGAACAUCCAGGUGCUCUUUAGCAAAACCUCAACCGUGCAGUAUUUCUCCCGAGGACGAAGAUCCACGCUUUCAUGGCAGCGAGGCUCGGCGGCUCGACGCCAUGCUCGUCUGAUCUUCUGAGGCCGCCCCAGAUCAGAGGGCGCGUGGCUGUCAGGCGAAGAAGAAGGAGAAGAGGGCCGUCAGAAACCUCUCCUGGUACUCAUCGAUGCGUCCGCAAGGCUGAAGGCGGGAAGGUGUCAAAGAAAGGCAAGCGUGUCCUCAUUUUGCUUGAGACUCCGCUCAAUCGUCACACGCUGUUUUUUUGUUUUUUUACCGACAGCGAGCACCACAACGGGUGCAGUACGAGCUACUGGAUAGAUGCUUGACGAGUUCGGUUAGUCCGGUACUUCGCUAAUGAGGGAGACAGCUGGAUUUAUAACGUCUUGCAGAAGCCUACAUGAACCAGGAAGUAGCCUGUGUUAUGGCAAAAUGACACAAUAUUGUCGAUAUCCUCUUUGAUUAUAUUAUCCCAUAGUUUUAUGUGUGAUGAUUUUAUUGCUUUGUGCUUGUGUGGCCUAGCGGCUAAACUUUUUCUGAGUCCUUUCCCUCAUACCGUCUCGGUGGUCAUACUGUCUCUGUGACUGUACCGACCUCCCUUUUCCCUCAAGGCCAAUAUGGGAUUACUUCUUUUUUUUUUUUUUUUCAUUCCCCUCCCAUUUUUUCAGUAGAAUUAGGCAUCGCUUUGGCAUAUGUGUCUCUGAGACGGGCAGAGACGCCGGCACCUGUAACCGGUCUUGACUCGCUGUCUCUUUGCAAAGAUUUCUUCUUUUUUUUGUAA